AACGAACGCUGGCGGCAUGCCUAACACAUGCAAGUCGAACGAGACCUUCGGGUCUAGUGGCGCACGGGUGCGUAACGCGUGGGAACCUGCCUUUAGGUUCGGAAUAACUCAGAGAAAUUUGAGCUAAUACCGGAUAAUGUCUUCGGACCAAAGAUUUAUCGCCUUUAGAUGGGCCCGCGUUGGAUUAGCUAGUUGGUGGAGGUAAAAGCUCCCCAAGGCGACGAUCAGUAGCUGGUCUGAGAGGAUGAUCAGCCACACUGGGACUGAGACACGGCCCAGACUCCUACGGGAGGCAGCAGUGGGAAUAUUGGACAAUGGGCGAAAGCCUGAUCCAGCAAUGCCGCGUGAGUGAUGAAGGCCUUCGGUCGUAAGACUCGUUUACCUAGGGAUGAU
rnacentral:rRNA from 1 species